CCAGCCUGGCCUUGAAUGUCUCCACGGACGAAGCAUCCACCGCCUCUCUGGGAAACCUGUGCCAGUGCUUCACCACCCUCAGUGUGGAACAGCAUUUGACUGAGAGGGAUCAAAUCCCCAUCCUCUGCUCAGCACUGGCAACAGUAAGUGGAAUGAUGAAGUUGAAACACCUAUCUUGAGACAAUCCAAUUUGGAGGUUUUGCCUCAAGCAGAUGAACAUCUUGCCGUUGUAUGGCCUUUCAGCCAGUGGUAUAUCAAGGUCAGAUGAUGCCAGGGAAUUUAAUAAAAACCAUAAAGUAUUUCUAAA